rnacentral:lncRNA from 1 species
AUUUGAUGCCUUGAUAUUCAUGAUGUUUGAUAUUUCUAAUUGCUCGUUGAUUAUUGCUUGAUUCAAAGUCCAAAGGGAAAAUGAGUUUUCUAUAUGACAUUCUUGUCUGUUGGAUUGCAUCCCAUUGGUCAGAUCUUUUCAACUCUUAACUUUUAAUUUUAUGCUUAGGAUUAGUCUUUUCAUCUCCUCCCACUUCUUAAAUUU